ACACUCAGAAAUUGAUUAAUUUUCAAUUUACAAGUAAUCCUACCAAGAACUCACUUUUUCAACGACAAAUUGAACUUACGUUUUUGAAUUUUUGAGAUUGACUUCUUCUCGAGGUAUUAUUACCCAUUAUUGAUUCGGACCAGCAAACUGCGUUGUGGGUGUUGUUUGGUGCUGGUAUGCUCGCAUGAGCACAACAAUGGUAUUUGUACUACAGACUGGUACCUCAGGAGCAUAUUGCUGGUAGGGGAUGGA